GACGAACGCUGGCGGCGUGCUUAACACAUGCAAGUCGAACGGAAAGGCCCUGCUUGCAGGGUACUCGAGUGGCGAACGGGUGAGUAACACGUGGGUGAUCUGCCCCGCACUUCGGGAUAAGCUUGGGAAACUGGGUCUAAUACCGGAUAGGAACCAUCUUUAGUGUGGUGGUUGGAAAGUUUUUUCGGUGUAGGAUGAGCUCGCGGCCUAUCAGCUUGUUGGUGGGGUAAUGGCCUACCAAGGCGGCGACGGGUAGCCGGCCUGAGAGGGUGUACGGCCACAUUGGGACUGAGAUACGGCCCAGACUCCUACGGGAGGCAGCAGUGGGGAAUAUUGCACAAUGGGCGCAAGCCUGAUGCAGCGACGCCGCGUGGGGGAUGAAGGCCUUCGGGUUGUAAACUCCUUUCGCUAGGGACGAAGCUUUGUUGUGACGGUACCUAGAUAAGAAGCACCGGCUAACUACGUG
rnacentral:rRNA from 1 species